UGGGGAUAUGGCGGAAUUGGUAGACGCUACAGACUUGUUUGGGUCGAUGCCCG
rnacentral:tRNA from 1 species